GGUUCUAUAGUGUAGCGGUUAGCACUUCGGAUUCUGAAUAUCAGAGCAUUCCGGCAACCCCGGUUCGAGUCCGGGUAGGACCU
rfam:Podospora anserina genomic DNA, chromosome 3.